AAUUUUACGAGAUUUUACGUUAAUUUUAUGCUUGGUAGGUACGCUAUGGUUAAAAUGUUUAAAUCAAACAAAAGUGCCAGGAAAUUGAACAGGAGGUUAAUUAUAAGUUGUUACACUAAGUGAUAAAAAAAAAAAAUUGAGCGUUAUGUACCAUUUUUUUUCUUAUAAGAAUUUUAAUAUCAAAUUUCGACGAAAAUCGUAAAUAUUUCGGUCUUUUUAAACGUGUAUAACCAAA